AUUGAACGCUGGCGGCAUGCCUUACACAUGCAAGUCGAACGGCAGCACGGGUGCUUGCACCUGGUGGCGAGUGGCGAACGGGUGAGUAAUACAUCGGAACAUGUCCUGUAGUGGGGGAUAGCCCGGCGAAAGCCGGAUUAAUACCGCAUACGCUCUACGGAUGAAAGCGGGGGACCUUCGGGCCUCGCGCUAUAGGGUUGGCCGAUGGCUGAUUAGCUAGUUGGUGGGGUAAAGGCCUACCAAGGCGACGAUCAGUAGCUGGUCUGAGAGGACGACCAGCCACACUGGGACUGAGACACGGCCCAGACUCCUACGGGAGGCAGCAGUGGGGAAUUUUGGACAAUGGGCGAAAGCCUGAUCCAGCAAUGCCGCGUGUGUGAAGAAGGCCUUCGGGUUGUAAAGCACUUUUGUCCGGAAAGAAAACCUUGGCCCUAAUACGGUCGGGGGAUGACGGUACCGGAAGAAUAAGCACCGGCUAACUACGUG
rnacentral:rRNA from 1 species